rnacentral:lncRNA from 1 species
CAUGAAAAGGUUUCACGAGAAACCCUUUCUCAUGUGAAUUAUGUGGCGCAUAAGAUGGAUAAGCUUGAAGGCAAAAGAGAUAAGUUAUCCAUUCAAAUUCAAACACGCUUUGAAUUUGAAUGGUUAACUAAUCAGCUUUAUCCAUCCAUAUGGUGCACAAAAGUGGGCGUGAGAAGGGCUUUGCGUGAGAAAAAAUUCACGAGAAGUUUCUUCUCGUGAAUUCAAAUGGACGCAGAGAUUUAAGGUGGUGCAGGGAUUGAAAUUCGAAUGGUGGUUUGAUCUUAAUUGAACCAACCUAAUCAAAAUAGGUUAAGCACAAUUAGACUAAAUUAAACCUAACUUAAUUAGGCUUAAUUAGGCUCAAUAAAAUUCUAAUCAAAUCAAAAAUUGACUAAGCUCAAUCCCUGAUCAAAUCAGAGAUCAAACCAUCUCGACGAUUAGGUCAACUCUUAACCUAAUCGGGUCAAACCCAACUGAAUCCAAUUCAAUUGGACUUGAUCUAAAAAUAAUUACUCAAUCAAAUUGAGUUAAUUAGCGAUCAAAUCACUAAUAAAAUCUCUCAUAAUUAUUGAGUCCAAAUCCGAUGGGCAAUCGGGUAUCAAAGUCCAUCAAUAUGAAACCUUGAUCGAAGAGUUCAAAUUCAAAAUUUGAAAUUCAAAAUUUUGACCCCGGUACCUAAAAUGUGUGGAACUCAUGAUCAGAGAAUCUUAAUUCUCAAUCAUAGAGUCCCAGACACAUAAGACUCAUAAUCAGCCAUCAGAUCAGAAAGGAACCUCUAAUAUGUGUGACCCCGN